rnacentral:tRNA from 1 species
GUGAGUAUAGGUCAGUGGUAGAGCGCACAUGCUUAGCAUGCAUGAGGUCCUGGGUUCAAUUCCCAGUACCUCCA